rnacentral:rRNA from 1 species
AAUGAACGCUGGCGGCGUGCCUAACACAUGCAAGUCGAACGAGAAAGCCUGGCUUGCCAGGCAAGUAAAGUGGCGCACGGGUGAGUAACGCGUGGGUAAUCUACCUCUGUCUGGGGAAUAACCUACCGAAAGGUGGGCUAAUACCGCAUAACGUGGUCGGGUUGCGACCUGAUCACCAAAGAUGGCCUCUCCAUGGAAGCUAUCGGGGUGGAGAUGAGCCCGCGUUCCCAUUAGCUAGUUGGUAAGGUAAAAGCUUACCAAGGCUACGAUGGGUAGCUGGUCUGAGAGGAUGACCAGCCACACUGGAACUGGAACACGGUCCAGACACCUACGGGAGGCAG